rnacentral:rRNA from 1 species
AUUGAACGCUGGCGGCAUGCCUAACACAUGCAAGUCGAACGGCAGCACGGCAGUAGCAAUACUGUGGGUGGCGAGUGGCGGACGGGUGAGGAAUACGUCGGAAUCUGCCCAAUCGUGGGGGAUAACUAACCGAAAGGUUAGCUAAUACCGCAUACGACCGAGAGGUGAAAGCGGGGGACCGCAAGGCCUCGCGCGAUUGGAUGAGCCGACGUCGGAUUAACUUGUUGGUGGGGUAAAGGCCUACCAAGGCAACGAUCCGUAGCUGGUCUGAGAGGAUGAUCAGCCACACUGGAACUGAGACACGGUCCAGACUCCUAUGGGAGGCAGCAGUGGGGAAUAUUGGACAAUGGGCGGAAGCCUGAUCCAGCAAUGCCGCGUGUGUGAAGAAGGCCUCGGUUGUAAGGUAC